rnacentral:rRNA from 1 species
AUUGAACGCUGGCGGCAGGCCUAACACAUGCAAGUCGAACGAGUGGCGGACGGGUGAGUAAUGUCUGGGAAACUGCCCGAUGGAGGGGGAUAACUACUGGAAACGGUAGCUAAUACCGCAUACUCUCGUGUGAACCCAGAUGGGAUUAGCUAGUAGGUGGGGUAAAGGCUCACAUAGGCGACGAUCUCUAGCUGGUCUGAGAGGAUGAUCAUCCACACUGGGACUGAGACACGGCCCAGACUCCUACUGUAGGCAGCAGUGGGGAAGAGUGCACGAUGGGCGCAAGCCUGAUGCAGCCAUGCCGCGUGUAUGAAGAAGGCCUUAGGGUUGUAAAGUACUUUCAGCGGGGAGGCGUUGCCCGCAGAAGAAGCACCGGCUAACUCCGUGCCAGCAGCCGCGGUAAUAC